rnacentral:rRNA from 1 species
AUUGAACGCUGGCGGCAUGCCUUACACAUGCAAGUCGAACGGUAACAGGUCUUCGGAUGCUGACGAGUGGCGAACGGGUGAGCUAUACAUCGGAACGUGCCCGAGAGUGGGGGAUAACGAAGCGAAAGCUUUGCUAAUACCGCAUACGAUCUCAGGAUGAAAGCAGGGGACCGCAAGGCCUUUCGCUCACGGAGCGGCCGAUGGCAGAUUAGGUAGUUGGUGGGAUGAAAGCUUACCAAGCCGACGAUCUGUAGCUGGUCUGAGAGGACGACCAGCCACACUGGGACUGAGACACGGCCCAGACUCCUACGGGAGGCAGCAGUGGGGAAUUUUGACAAUGGGCGCAAGCCUGAUCCAGCCAUGCCGCGUGCAGGAUGAAGGCCUUCGGGUUGUAAACUGCUUUUGUACGGAACGAAAAGACUCCUUCUAAUAAAGGGGGUCCAUGACGGUACCGUAAGAAUAAGCACCGGCUAACUACGUGCCAGCAGCCGCAGUAACAC